CCACGACCCCCACCCCCGGCCGCCCCCGCCGGGACAGAGCCGGGGGCCAGCGGGGGAAGGGAAGAGGAAACUUUGAACCCUCUGGGAACACCUCUGCUCAUAGGUACCCACGCGCUCGGGGCGCCGUGCCGCGAACCCUGCGGCUCUCCGGGGUGGGGGCAGGGGGCCGGGCGCACGCACGCAGGGCUGGGUGGGGUGGCUCAGCCGCGGUUUCCCGUGAUUUUCUCCUCUCCGGUUUCCUUCUGACCCCCUCCCCUCCGUUCCUCCCUCCCUUUCUCUCCCCUUUCUCCCCCCACCACUCAGACCGAUCUCGAUCUCCAGCGCACCGACCUGCCAAGGGACGUGAGCCCUUGGGCCGGACACUAAGAGUUAAGAUGUGGCGGCGGGGGAGGGGCGGGGAGGAGAAAGUGGCGGGGGGCGGGGGACGGGGGGCUGGGCCCGGGGACGACAGAUUUCAGGCUUAUACGACGCGCUGCCUAAAUUAAAAAGCAACCAAUCGGAACGGCCGGAAAGGGGGCCGCGCGUCCGGAGCCAGUCAUUCCGGGGCUGCCAAUCACGCAGCGGGUAGCCAAUCGGCAGGGGCCCUGGCGUUCGACUUCCUUGUAUUUGGGAAAGUGUGGUGGUGGGUGCGCGCUCGCGGCGGAGGGUAAACAUUCGACAGUCCCCGCUCGGAGAGGGAGGGACAGAGAGCGAACUGUCAGAUCGCGGCGAGCGAGCGCGGGCGCCCUAGAGCCGAGCAAGGGAGGGCGAGGGAAAGUGCGCAAGGGCGAGCGAGGAGAGAGCGCGAACCAGGGCGCAGAGCAGCUCCGCCGCACCUCCGCCGCCCGGCCCGCGCCCCCGUCGGGGCUCCCCGAGAGCGAGCGAGCGCGCAGCGUCCCCGGAGGGGUUGGGUGCAGGAGCCCCUCUAUGCACAUACACACCUCCAUCGCCGCCAAUGCACGCUUCUUCCUCCUCCUCCUCCUCCUCCUGCAGACCAUUGCUGGGAAAAAAAUAAAACACCAACCCCAAGCUCCAGCGACAAGGAAAGAUGUCGCAUCAGACUGUGACUGUUGCGAGGAGAAUGAGAAAGGACUCUUGUGUCCGAGGCAGCCCAGAGCUCCGGCAAUAGCAACUUCAGCGCAAUGCACCCUCGGAGGAAGUUUUCCUAGGACAGAACCAAACUUGGAAGGCGUGGACCCUUGGGGGGCAGCAGGCACCGGGCUCCCCUCUUCGUGCCCAACAGCACCCAGCACCGCCAAGCCUUCUGGGACCCAAAAAGUUUUGCCACGCCAAGGGGAAGCCUGAGAAAUGCGUUUCUGAGCGGGAGCCGGAGGAGGCUGCGGGCUCGGGCCGGCGGUUGGCCACGCGUGACUUGGAGAAGGAGGGAAGGCGCCACUUCUUUGUUGUCGCCCGCGGAGCCAUCACCUAGCAGGUGGACCGAGCACCGCGCUCUAGAGACCCGGGGAGCAGCAGCGGCGCCUCCUGGCCCGGCCCGGGCUGGCCCAGCGACCCCGGGCUAGGCAGCGCGCAGGGCCGGGGGGCGGCCGCGACCCCCC
rnacentral:lncRNA from 1 species